UGCAAGUCGUGCGAGAAACCAAUUAGCUUGCUAUGAGGUGGACAGCGGCGUAAGGGAGAGUAACGCGUGGUUACGUGCCCUCGAGACCGGGAUAGUGUCGGGAAACUGGCAGUAAUACCGGAUAAUAUCUUUGGAUCAAAUGGUGAGAUUCCGCUCGAGGAUCGGACCGCGUACUAUUAGCUUGUUGGCGGGGUAAUGGCCCACCAAGGCUGCGAUGGUUACCGGGUGUGAGAGCAUGGCCCGGCUCACUGGGACUGAGACACUGCCCAGACACCUACGGGUGGCUGCAGUCGAGAAUCUUCGGCAAUGGACGAAAGUCUGACCGAGCGACGCCGCGUGCGGGAUGAAGGCCCUCGGGUUGUAAACCGCUGUCAGUUAGGAGGAAAUGCAUGAGGGUUCUCUCUCAUGUUUGACCGAUUUUCAGAGGAAGGACGGGCUAAGUUCGUGCCAGCAGCCGCGGUAAGACGAACCGUCCAAACGUUAUUCGGUAUCACUGGGCUUAAGGCGUGCGUAGGCGGCUUGGUAGGUGAGAUGUGAAAGCCCACGGCUCAACCGUGGAAUUGCGUUUCAAACCCCCAAGCUCGAGGAAGAUAGGGGUGAUGGGAACUUAUGGUGGAGCGGUGAAAUGCGUUGAUAUCAUAGGGAACACCGGUGGCGAAAGCGCAUCACUGGAUCUUUUCUGACGCUGAGGCACGAAAGCUAGGGUAGCGAACGGGAUUAGAUACCCCGGUAGUCCUAGCUGUAAA
rnacentral:rRNA from 1 species